rnacentral:rRNA from 1 species
GACGAACGCUGGCGGCGUGCUUAACACAUGCAAGUCGAGCGGAAAGGCCCUUUCGGGGGUACUCGAGCGGCGAACGGGUGAGUAACACGUGAGUAAUCUGCCCUUGGCUUUGGGAUAACCACCGGAAACGGUGGCUAAUACCGGAUAUGACAGGCUCCGGCAUCGGGGUUCGUGGAAAGUUUUUUCGGCCAGGGAUGUGCUCGCGGCCUAUCAGCUUGUUGGUGGGGUAAUGGCCUACCAAGGCUUCGACGGGUAGCCGGCCUGAGAGGGUGACCGGCCACACUGGGACUGAGACACGGCCCAGACUCCUACGGGAGGCAGCAGUGGGGAAUAUUGGACAAUGGGCGGAAGCCUGAUCCAGCAACGCCGCGUGAGGGAUGGCGGCCUGGUUGUAACCGUACUUCAGUACCGACGAAGACGCCGACUGAUGGUGGUGACGGUAGGUAC